UUUAAUGGCCGCAGUAUUUUGACUGUGCAAAGGUAGCAUAAUCAUUAGUUUCUUAAUUAGAAACUGGAAUGAAAGGUUGAACGAAAAAAUAGCUGUCUCUUUAUAAAUUUUUUAGAAUUUUAUUUUUAAGUUAAAAAGCUUAAAUUAGUUUGAAAGACGAGAAGACCCUAUAGAGUUUUAUAUGAGAUUAAUUUUAUUUAAAGAGUUGAAUUAUUUUUUAUAAAGUUAAUUUUUUAUUUGAUUGGGGUGAUUGAAAAAUUUAAUAAACUUUUUUUAAUAAAAGUUCAUAAAUUAAUGUAUUUUUGAUCCAUAAAUUAUGAUUAUAAGAUUAAAUUACCUUAGGGAUAACAGCGUAAUUUUUUUUAAGAGUUCUUAUCGAUAAAAAAGUUUGCGACCUCGAUGUUGGAUUAAAAUAAAAGUUUGGUGUAGAAGCUUAACUAUUAGGUCUGUUCGACCUUUAAAAUUUUACAUGAUCUGAGUUUAAACCGGUGUGAGCCAGGUUGGUUUCUAUCUUUAAAAAAAUAAAAUAUUUUAGUACGAAAGGACCAGGUAUUUGUAAUAUUUAUUUGAUAUGAAUUUUAUUAAUAU
rnacentral:rRNA from 1 species